AGGUCCCGUAGCUCAGUUGGUUAGAGCGUUGGUCUUAUGAGCCGAAGGUCGCGGGUUCGAGCCCCGCCGGGACCAUGGUUUCCGAC
rnacentral:tRNA from 1 species